GGGCGCAGUACAUUUUUCCAUCUCCCUCUUUUGGGUGCAUGGAAUGCCACGCAUUUCAGAGAUACUUUUGGCACCUCAGCGGCGAUUAAAUGCACACGCACGAACCAGAUACUCAGAGAGAAAAGCAGAUAGUUUUCCGCUGGCUGAUAACAAACCCACUUUUGAACAAACUUUUACACGAUUUAAAAUGGUUAAUUAUAAAGUGCAUCUGCCGGAUUUAUUGGACAAACGUAUUGUGUAACUAACGAAGUCGAAGGACGGGAACAGCGGUAAGCGGCUUUUGGGGCGACUCUCCCUUUUAAUUGCCAAGUACAAGGACCACACACGCGGUCCGGUCCGCUGAAGAGGCUAGAGAUUAGGGGGCAUUUUAAAUGUAAAUCGACAGCCGGCAGCCCAACGGUCGCACAUCCAUUUGUUGUCACAACAAAGGGGCAAUGAAAAAUGAGGCAACCAACAGGUUGCCAUCGCCUCUAAGACGCGAUAAGAUGACAAUGACCUGACCGCAAAGUGCCCCCAAAAUGCAACCGCAGCAGCAUCCCAAUGGGCCAUAGACCAAUGUGCCCCUUCCCGGGCCCUGGAUUUCCAUCUCCCUUGUUCCGUGUGACACUAAUGUCCUGUAUGGCAUUUGUCGGUGUCGGCAUCUCUCGUUUGUCCACCGCCGCUUAUCGGAUUGCCCCGAAACAAAUGGAAGAUUUUCUGACCCCUUGCCACUCGCCUCAUAAUUUACGAUCAGCCGAGGAAAAGCCUGUAAGUGCUUUCCUCUGAUUGUAAUAACAAUAUUUUGCUUUCGGCUUUCGCCGCAUGAUUAGCUGAAAAGCCGAGAAAACCCGAUCGGCGGCUUGUCAGCUUGUUAAGUCGAAGUGGAUUGCAGAUUGGCUUAGAAACGAAAGCGCGAAAUGCGUUAAUUUUGCGGCCAAUUGACGUGUUCGAUGCUUGGUGGCAAGCCUUUCGGCUAAAUACACUGCAAGAAACAUAUUUUAAAAGUAAAAAUAUCUUUGAAAGGCAACCAAUUUGUAUCUACUUCAAAAAGAUAUUAUAUUAAAAAUAAUUUAUUUAUUUCACAUAA